UACGUAGGGUGCGAGCGUUGUCCGAAUUAUUGGGCGUAAAGGGCUCGUAGGCGGUUUGUCGCGUCGGGAGUGAAAUCCACUGGCUUAACUGGUGGCUUGCUUUCGAUACGGGCAGACUGGAGGUAUGCAGGGGAGAACGGAAUUCCUGGUGUAGCGGUGGAAUGCGCAGAUAUCAGGAGGAACACCGGUGGCGAAGGCGGGUCUCUGGGCAGUAACUGACGCUGAGGAGCGAAAGCGUGGGGAGCGAACAGG
rnacentral:rRNA from 1 species